AGCUUAAGCCAUGCAUGUCUAAGUACACACGGGCGGUACAGUGAAACUGCGAAUGGCUCAUUAAAUCAGUUAUGGUUCCUUUGGUCGCUCCUCUCCCGCUCCUUGGAUAACUGUGGUAAUUCUAGAGCUAAUACAUGCCGACGAGCGCCGACCUCCGGGGACGCGUGCAUUUAUCAGACCAAAACCAACCCGGGCCCGCCCGGCAGCUUUGGUGACUCUAGAUAACCUCGAGCCGAUCGCACGCCCCCGCGGCGGCGACGACCCAUUCGAAUGUCUGCCCUAUCAACUUUCGAUGGUACUGUCUGUGCCUACCAUGGUGACCACGGGUGACGGGGAAUCAGGGUUCGAUUCCGGAG
rnacentral:ncRNA from 1 species